GAUGAAGAACGUAGUGAAAUGCGAUAAGUAAUGUGAAUUGCAGAAUUCAGUGAAUCAUCGAAUCUUUGAACGCACAUUGCGCCCCUUGGUAUUCCGGGGGGCACACCUGUUCGAGCGUCAUUACACCAAUCAAGCUUUGCUUGGUAUUGGGUAUAGUCCCUAUUUUUAGGGACCGACCUUAAAAUCUUUGGCGGCGCAGUCCGGCUUCAGGCGUAGCAGAAAUUACUCGUCUAUGGGGUCUGGGUUGGUGUCUUGUCCAUAAAAUUUUUAUUUUUCAAAGGUUGACCUCGGAUCAGGUGGGGAUACCCGCUGAACUUAAGCAUAUCAAUAAGCGGAGGA
rnacentral:misc_RNA from 1 species